UCGAUUAUGGUGUAAUGGCUAACAUUACCGCCUCUCAUUCUCAUUCUUUAUCGUAAACGCGGCAUCUCAGGGUUCGACUCCCUGUAAUCGAA